rnacentral:rRNA from 1 species
AUUUUAGUAAUGCAGUCAUACUUGUUGUGGUUAAAGCUCGUAGUUGAACCUUGGGCCUGGCUGGCCGGUCCGCCUCACCGCGUGUACUGGUCCGGCCGGGCCUUUCCCUCUGUGGAACCCCAUGCCCUUCACUGGGUGUGGCGGGGAAACAGGACUUUUACUGUGAAAAAAUUAGAGUGCUCCAGGCAGGCCUAUGCUCGAAUACAUUAGCAUGGAAUAAUAGAAUAGGACGUGUGGUUCUAUUUUGUUGGUUUCUAGGACCGCCGUAAUGAUUAAUAGGGACAGUCGGGGGCAUCAGUAUUCAAUUGUCAGAGGUGAAAUUCUUGGAUUUAUUGAAGACUAACUACUGCGAAAGCAUUUGCCAAGGAUGUUUUCAUUAAUCAGGAACGAAAGUUAGGGGAUCGAAGACGAUCAGAUACCGUCGUAGUCUUAACCAUAAACUAUGCCGACUAGGGAUCGGACGGUGUUAUUUUUUGACCCGUUCGGCACCUUACGAGAAAUCAAAGUGCUUGGGCUCCAGGGGGAGUAUGGUCGCAAGGCUGAAACUUAAAGAAAUUGACGGAAGGGCACCACCAGGGGUGGAGCCUGCGGCUUAAUUUGACUCAACACGGGGAAACUCACCAGGUCCAGACACAAUGAGGAUUGACAGAUUGAGAGCUCUUUCUUGAUUUUGUGGGUGGUGGUGCAUGGCCGUUCUUAGUUGGUGGAGUGAUUUGUCUGCUUAAUUGCGAUAACGAACGAGACCUUAACCUGCUAAAUAGCCCGUAUUGCUUUGGCAGUACGCUGGCUUCUUAUACGGACUAUCCCUCAAGCCAUGGUAGUUUGAGGAAUUACAGGCUGGUGGCCAACGGAGAGAUCGGAAC